GGACUACCGGGGUUUCUAAUCCUGUUUGCUCCCCACGCUUUCGCACCUGAGCGUCAGUCUUUGUCCAGGGGGCCGCCUUCGCCACCGGUAUUCCUCCAGAUCUCUACGCAUUUCACCGCUACACCUGGAAUUCUACCCCCCUCUACAAGACUCUAGUCGGACAGUUUCAAAUGCAGUUCCCAGGUUGAGCCCGGGGCUUUCACAUCUGACUUAUCCGACCGCCUGCGUGCGCUUUACGCCCAGUUAUUCCGAUUAACGCUUGCACCCUCCGUAUUACCGCGGCUGCUGGCACGGAGUUAGCCGGUGCUUCUUCUGCGAGUAACGUCACAGCAACUAGGUAUUAGCUAGCCACCUUUCCUCCUCGCUGAAAGUGCUUUACAACCCUAAGGCCUUCUUCACA
rnacentral:misc_RNA from 1 species